rnacentral:rRNA from 1 species
GACGUAGGGCGCGAGCGUUGUCCGGAUUUAUUGGGCGUAAAGAGCUCGUAGGCGGCUUGUCGCGUCGACUGUGAAAUCCCGCGGCUCAACUGCGGGUCUGCAGUCGAUACGGGCAGGCUAGAGUUCGGUAGGGGAGACUGGAAUUCCUGGUGUAGCGGUGAAAUGCGCAGAUAUCAGGAGGAACACCGAUGGCGAAGGCAGGUCUCCUGGGCCGAUACUGACGCUGAGGAGCGAAAGCGUGGGGAGCGAACAGGAUUAGAAAC